rnacentral:rRNA from 1 species
UGGGGAAUCUUGCGCAAUGGGCGAAAGCCUGACGCAGCGACGCCGCGUGGGGGAAGAAGGCCUUAGGGUUGUAAACCUCUUUCAGGUGGGACGAAGCCACUCGGGUUAAUAGCCCAGAGGGUGACGGUACCGCCAGAAGAAGCCCCGGCUAACUACGUGCCAGCAGCCGCGGUAAUACGUAGGGGGCAAGCGUUGUCCGGAUUUAUUGGGCGUAAAGAGCGUGUAGGCGGCCAGGUAGGUGGGUUGUGAAAACUGGAGGCUCAACCUUCAGACGUCGACCCAAACCCCCUGGCUAGAGUCCGGAAGAGGAGAGUGGAAUUCCUGGUGUAGCGGUGAAAUGCGCAGAUAUCAGGAAGAACACCCGUGGCGAAGGCGGCUCUCUGGGACGGUACUGACGCUGAGACGCGAAAGCGUGGGGAGCGAACAGG